AUAAAAAAAAUUAGGAAUAGUUACAGUAAUCAUAGCCAUUCAAAAUUAUCUGUGAUUUCAGUCUUACUAUAAAAUAAUAAUUAUCUUACAGUAAGACUAAAGUGACACAAAAAGAAAGUAAUAUAGAUAAUUAGUAUCAAGAACAGAACAUUUAUACGAUCAACCUCAAUGGAUCCAAAGUAAAAAUAUUAGGAAGAAAUGUCAUUGGCGGGUUUGGUGAACAUUUCAAACCUUAAGUCGUAAAACGCUGGCGUCAGCAAGCGUUAUACUCGAAAACGGUUGAAAUUUUAAAACGCUCGCGGGUGAUUGGGAAAAAUUUUUCUGAUCUUCGCCAAUAAUUUUCCCGGAGUCUGGUAACCAAGUACUUUUAUUGAAAAAAUAAAUUUUGAAAAUCCAAGCACGCUAGAAUGAAUAUUGCAUGCAACAAGAAAAUAAGUAAAAAAUUUUGGUGGAAAUAAUGAAGGUGUAGCGUUUCAAAAUCUAUGUCCAUGAUGUACAAAUAAAUAAAAAUAAGAAAAUAAAAUUUAAAAAACAAAUCAAGAAAAGAAGAUUCAAUUUGCUCAAAUUCGAUAUAUUAUUCUAAUCCUGUUUAAUUAGGGUAAGUUCUAAGAGAAGAGUAAAAGCUCAUUUUGAAAAUUAGACAAUGCAUGGGACCGAGUAUUGUAAAUGGAUGUCUAUAAAUUAUAAUAAAUAAGUAUAGGAUUUUUGUAAUUAGUCGAGUUAUUAAAGUUCAUGUAUACUACACAGAUUUUUAGUUAAAAUAAUUUAGCAUAUUAAUAUUAAGAUUAAACAACGUAAAAAAUAUUUAUUCAAUAUUUUAAACAUCUUUAAUUUUCUAUGAAUGUUUACGCAUCAUUAUUUUUUACUAAGAUAUUACUUAAUUUAAAAUUUGAUGUUAUGAAAUGUAUUAAAUAAUAAUUCAAAAAUAUUUAAAACUAAAUAA